GACAGAGGGGGCAAGCGUUGCUCGGAAUUACUGGGCGUAAAGGGCUCGUAGGCGGCCAACUAAGUCAGACGUGAAAUCCCUCGGCUUAACCGGGGAACUGCGUCUGAUACUGGAUGGCUUGAGGUUGGGAGAGGGAUGCGGAAUUCCAGGUGUAGCGGUGAAAUGCGUAGAUAUCUGGAGGAACACCGGUGGCGAAGGCGGCAUCCUGGACCAAUUCUGACGCUGAGGAGCGAAAGCCAGGGGAGCAAAGCGGG
rnacentral:rRNA from 1 species